GACGAACGCUGGCGGCGUGCUUAACACAUGCAAGUCGAACGGAAAGGCCCUGCUUGCAGGGUACUCGAGUGGCGAACGGGUGAGUAACACGUGGGUGAUCUGCCCUGCACUUCGGGAUAAGCCUGGGAAACUGGGUCUAAUACCGGAUAGGAGCAAUUUUUAGUGUGAUGGUUGGAAAGUUUUUUCGGUGUAGGUUGAGCUCGCGGCCUAUCGGCUUGUGUGUGGGGUAAUGGCCUACCAAGGCGGCGACGGGUAGCCGGCCUGAGAGGGUGGACGGCCACAUUGGGACUGAGAUACGGCCCAGACUCCUACGGGAGGCAGCAGUGGAGAAUAUUGCACAAUGGGCGCAAGCCUGAUGCAGCGACGCCGCGUGGGGGAUGACGGCCUUCGGGUUGUAAACUCCUUUCGCUAGGGACGAAGCUUUUUGUGACGGUACCUAGAGAAGAAGCACCGGCUAACUACGUG
rnacentral:rRNA from 1 species